ACACACACACACACACACACACACACACACACACACACACACACACACACACACACACACACACACACAGACAUACAUACAUACACACGUGUGUGUAAGAAGGGAGUCUUUGGGAAAGGCUGGCACAGACAUGUACAUCAGAAAGACGCGCAUCACAAAGAUGUUCUCUUAAUCCGAUUUGCUGCAUCAGAACCCCCUCCUCCCGUGGAUGAAUCUUGACAAUCCAUGUCAGCCAUUGAACCCCUGAGUCUUGUUUGUUUGGCCCAAAAUGGACUGAUCCCACAUGUUGCCACUACGCCUGCCGUGUAGUUCAUGGACGUGAACCCCCCCCCAUCGUUAGAAAUGGCAACCUGUAGUCACCCUGCGGAUGUCCAGGUGCUCUUCCUCUCGUUCCCUCGUUCGUGGUGUUGGAGCUUCCUUCGAGGCGGUCAGCGUGCCAUCCUCGCAUGUGGAGGAAGCGCUGUGUUGAGUUUCAGAACUGAAAUUAUUACUGAAAUAAUAUGACUGAACAACCCCUGGUGUGCAACAUGUAUACGUGUCUGGACGUGUUUCACACAUGUGGAAUGGUAAUCCAGCAGUGAUGUUUUGUGCGAAGGGGAAAUACAUCACUUCCUGUCUCUGUGUUUGUCCGGCAAUGGCCGAAGAGUCCCUCCCACACGGGACAUAACGUGACGUCUCUCCCGCUAGCAGCGCCCUUUGUGACUCGGGUGCUGUGAGUGGUGUGUGUGUGUGUGUGUGUGUGUGCGCGAGCGUGCGUGCGUGCGUGCGUGUGUGCGUCCUCCCCCGAAACAAAAAUGCUCAAAAAGCAAGAACUGUGCCUUUUAAACACAAACUGAACUUCCCCCCUAACGAUAGAGUGCUAUCCUCAUGAGAAGACACCAGAGUCACCGUGGAGAUCUGCACGGUGGCUCAUUCCUCUUCUGUCUGCAACAGCUUGGAAACUCUUGAACUGUUUCCUGUUUCCACCCUUCAAGUGCCCAUGCACAGACAAUAACACCUGGACCACUACGAGAGACUCCAGACUUACCAGAGAGGAAAUUGGGCACUUUUUUUUUUGUUUUUUUUUUUGCUCAGUGUCAUCAUGGCAAACGCCCCAUAUUUUCAAUGAACAGGACAGCUGAUGAGCACUGUGAACUGUACCCACACUGUGUGUGUGUGUGUGUGUGUUUUGUUGGAGUGUUGAGGGGGGGUGCCGUGUGUCUCUGUGCUUCCUCCCUCACCUUCCAGAGAACACCUCUUGUGUUCUUGUUGAUGUUGUUGUUGUUGUUGUUGCUGCAUAUUCUGUUGGGUGGGACAAAGACUGUGUUGUGCGCAUGUGUGAAAGUGAGUGUAAAAUGUGUGACGUCACCUUUUUGGGAAUGAUGAACGGCAAACGCCUCUUGCCUGGUAUUGCCGUUCGCGCCCCAUCUUGAAGGAAUCAUCUGCUUGCCUCAGCGUUUGAAAUAUUUCUUUUAGGAUUUCCCGGUAUACGUUUGACAACUCCAGGGGUCCAACCAUGGCCAUCUUCCUGAACAGUCAAAGUCUUUUCAAUGUGUAACAGCUCUUAGGGUAAGCUAAACUAAAAAUGUUCUGCUUUGAGUUUUCGGCUUGAACUUGUGUGUCUCUAUGGCUGGCUUGCAGUGUUGUAUGGCUCAAGUUUGCCUUACUGAGAAAAGUGGUCCUACUACCUGACAAGUAGGUGUGUCGGGUGUCCCCUCAGGGUCGUCAUUUCAUCAUAGUACGCUCUGAUCAACUGUAGGCUUUAUACACCACAGCAUGCAUGCUGGACAUUUUAAACAGAGGUCAUCGAAAAACGCAGAGCAAUAACUUAUGUUAUCUUUUAUCUUUUUGUUUUAGUUCCUUUCUCAGUCGGUCUGUGUUAGAAGACCUGCGUGAGAUGAGGGAGGUUGUUUUUUUUUUUUUACUUGUUUUAGUUGACAUUACUUUUUUUUUUAAAAAUGGCCAGUUGUCGCAAACAGAGACGUGUUACACACAGGUUUCUGUUUGUGGUCAUUUACCUGCGUCCGGCAGGUAUUUCAGCCCGGUAAUGGUAAAGACCACACACCUUUUCAGUUGCAUUGACAUGGAGUCCAUGUCUUUGUUGUGGUGAUCACACACACCUUCUUGUGCAACACUAACAAAUAUCUUCAGGUAACCGGGUUUUUUUUUGGUUUUUUUUGCUUUGUUGUAAUUUUUAUGACCGUAAAGAAGGAAGAAUGAGGACGCAGGCCACACUGCAGUGACAUCAUAAUGCCACCUGUGUCUCCACAGCACUAAAUCAAAGGUGGCAAACCUGUGACUGAUAAAUUCAGCUUUUGUUUAUGUUUUUAAGAGAAAACAAAAAUAAAAUAUACUACGCAGCUGCAUUAUACAGUUGCCCUUGUGUAUAUAAAGAAGAGGGAACCAAAAUUUGCAUUGUUGUCUUCUCUUUCAUUUUAAUUUAACAUGUCAAUUGAUUAUUGGUUUACAUACGUAAUCAGGGUGCGUCCUAAUAUUGUUUUUUUUUUUCUUUUGUAUUGUAUGUGAUUUGAUUUAAAAAACAAAACAAAAAAAACACAAAAAAAAAAACAAAUGUCUGUGUGUGAUUGUUCAGAAAUACAGAGAAAUCUUGAAAUGAAAGUGUACGUUUUGUUGCUUUGUUGAUGCAUGAAUGGUGGCUGUCGCUGUAAGUACAUGAUUAAGGUAUUAAAAUAUGACUGUUGAAUAACA